GGAUAUUUGUGUGGCAUGUUUUAUAAUUUGUCUCCCUGCUCCAUUAUGCCUAAACUUAGGGGAUCUGGGGGCACCCCCCUCUUGUUCUUCAUUUUCUCUUUAUUAUCCACACUAAAUGGUACUAAUUCUGCAAUCACUGACACUAAUUCCAAUUCCAGUCUCCAUUUUAAAGAAGCACCGCAGUUCUAUAAUUCCCCGAGUUGUUCUUCAAUUAAUUCUUCGGUAAAUGUAGCUAUGACUCUUGAUAUAGCUUAUCUCAGGGGAUCUAUGGCUGCUAUUCUUUCAGUGCUACAACACUCUUCUUGCCCAGAAAACAUUGUAUUCCAUUUUGUCUCUUCUUCAUCUGCUGAAUCCACACAUUUGAACUUCACUAUUACGAAAUCAUUUCCGUAUCUUCAAUUCACAAUUUAUCCAAUUCAAGAUGUUGCAUCUGUAGCAGGACUAAUUUCAACCUCGAUUCGCUCUGCUUUAGAUUGUCCUUUAAAUUAUGCUCGCAAUUAUCUUGCUGAUCUACUUCCUCAGCAACUUCAAAAGGUUGUUUAUCUUGAUUCGGACCUUGUUUUAGUAGACGACAUUGCUGAAUUAGCAGCAACGCCUCUAACAGGGGACUCUGUUUUAGCAGCACCUGAAUACUGCAAUGCUAAUUUUACUACUUACUUCACGCCGACUUUUUGGUCUAAUCCUUCUCUUUCCUUAACUUUUGCAAAUCGAAAUCGAAGGCCUUGUUAUUUUAAUACUGGAGUGAUGGUUAUUGAUCUAGAGAGAUGGAGAGCAGGGGAUUAUACUACUAAGAUUGUGGAGUGGAUGGAGUUGCAAAAGAGAAUGAGGAUCUAUGAAUUGGGAUCUUUACCCCCUUUUCUGCUUGUUUUUGCUGGAAAUAUAGCUCCGGUUGAUCAUAGCUGGAACCAACAUGGUCUUGGUGGAGAUAAUUUUCAUGGACUCUGUCGGGAUUUGCACCCUGGUCCAGUUAGUCUAUUGCAUUGGAGUGGAAAGGGCAAACCAUGGGCUCGACUUGACGCGAAUCGCCCUUGUCCGUUAGAUGGUCUAUGGUCACCUUAUGACCUACUGCAAACACCUUAUACAAUUGAAUCUUAAGGUGUAUUAGAGAUUGACAUCGAGAGUAGAGAUCUGUGUCUUGUGAUCCUCUUCGAUUGUGUUAUGGCGGAGCUAGUCACCCCAGAAGGGCUAGAUAAUUUGACGAGGAAAAGAGAGAGGAGAACGAGUGUCGGCAGUGAGAGGGAUUUGUUUGUGCGGGACAAGUCAGGUAGAUUUUAAAACAAAACCACAUGGAUGAAACAUGUACAGAUUCUACAAAAGUCAUUCCGCAUUUUAAGCAUUUCAUAUUAAAUCUUGUCAGCGGCUGAUUAAAUAAAAAAUAAAGUAAGGAGCUGAGUGAGCUUAAGCCACUGCACAUAAAGAAUCACAUUAGUGCAAAUUCUGUCUUUUUCAACAGUUGGUUUGUAACAUGUAAAGACAAGAAUGUAGAAAGCAAAGUUUAAGAGGUAGUCAAAUGCUCUAAUUAUGUGCCCUUUUACAAGUCAAAUGAAUUUCUGUUAUUUUCUAGAG